rnacentral:rRNA from 1 species
UACGUAGGGUGCGAGCGUUGUCCGGAAUUACUGGGCGUAAAGAGCUCGUAGGUGGUUUGUCGCGUUGUUCGUGAAAACUCACAGCUUAACUGUGGGCGUGCGGGCGAUACGGGCAGACUGGAGUACUGCAGGGGAGACUGGAAUUCCGGGUGUAGUGGUGGAAUGCGUAGAGAUCCGGAGGAACACCAGCGGCGAAGGCGGCGUCCUGGACUGGUACUGACGCUCAUGAGCGAAAGCGUGGGGAGCGAUCCGG